AUGGAGAGGAGUUCCACCGGGGUGUCGCUCAGCGGAGGUGGGCUGGUGCAGCGGAGGCUGGCCGGCGCGGCAGAGGCGGGGGCUCGCCACGGAUGCUUCCACCUCGCUGCAGUCGUCGUCCUGCUUCCUGGGUCUCCUCCGAGCUCGCCAUCAUCGCCCAAGGCUGGUCUAAAUUGGCUGGUUCUGAAGGAGGAGGUCACGACGGCCGUGCUAAUUUUUUUUGGAACUGGACACAUGCCUGAGGGUGUUAAUGACACGGCUAUCGUGUUGAUUGCAAAAGUCCCUACGCCUGUGGAUCUAAAGGACUUUCGUCCUAUUAGUCUAUGCAAUGUAAUUUACAAAGUUGUGUCUAAGUGCAUGGUGAACAGACUCCGUCCGUUGUUGUCAGUUUUAAUCUCAGAGAACCAAAGUGCCUUCAUCUCAGAGAACCAAAGUGUCUAA
rnacentral:rRNA from 1 species